rnacentral:tRNA from 1 species
AGGGGUAUAGUUUAAUGGUAAAACAGCGGUCUCCAAAACCACUGAUGUGGGUUCAAUUCCUGCUACCCCUG